AUUCCCUGUUUCAGAUAAGUAAAUUGAUUACCAUUGACGAAAAUUGAGGUUGUAGAAUGACAAGAUACAAAUGUACAGAUUGAUCCUGUAAAAAGCUCAUGCCUGGUAAUAAGGAUGUCAUGUGUAUUGCAGGACAGUAAAAAUGCUAUUUCAAGGUUUAUUUUAUUGUCCUGCAAUAAGCCCAUGUCAAAAUUCAUGUGUUAGUCCCCUAUAGGCUUAUUACAUAAUAAAUUAGGUAUGUGUACAGUAUCCAGUUAAGAUGGCUUUACUGUUUAUUAUUUAAUUAAUUAGUGCUUAUUAAGUGAAGUACUUAUAACUGGUAUCCACAAACAACAGUUUCAAUGAAAACAACAUGUUUAUUUUUGGUAUCAUGGAUCAUGACAAUAUUGUAACUGGUGUAUCUAUGUCAGAUGAUCCGUUCUAAUACAGAAUAGGAUUACUACGUCCUAUUUACAUGUUUAUGCAUUCCAGUUCAGUAGAACUUGUUAAAUUUGAAUUUUCUGUUAAUUUGGAAAACUCACAAGCCAGACCUUCAAUUUUCUGAUUUCCACAAAAGUAAUUGGUUUCCUGGUAACAUAAGAUUUUUGUUCCAGGUCCAAAUUCCAGUCACCAAAUUUACAGCAGUGUAAAUUUGUGAUCACAUAUAGUCACAUUAUAUAUGACUCAAGUUUGUCUCCAGAAACUGCUGAUCAAUGCUUGUGUCUGACUUGAUGGAACUGAUAUUUUCUCUAAAACUGAAGAUAUAAAAAUUAAGCUUGUUAGUAGAUUUUAUUUUUCCAGAAAAUUUCUCUUGAGCCAAAAUAUCUAUUUUGAUAAGGUUCAGCUGUCAAAAUAUUGUGUUGAAAAUGAACAAAAUUGAGAUUCACUUCUGCACCUAAAUGUAUAAACUGGCCACAAAGUGUUACCGACUUGCAGUGGUCAAAUUUCUGGCCAUAGUUGGUCAGAAUGAUUAGAGAAAGGUCGUAUUGAAGUGUAACAAACAAAACAGACAUCUACAGGUAUUAUAUGAUAUAUUAUGCUAUCUUUUAACAUAAUUAUUUAAUUUUUGAUGAAUUUUGAUCAAAAUGAAUGAAAUAUUACAUGAUUCCAGUAUUGAUCACAAUUUGACCAGGUAAUAACAUAGCCAAUAUUAAGUCACCUGACAAGAUCAGAUAAAUUGAACUAGCACUGCCAUCAAUCCAAACAGACUCCCGCUGCAUGAAAACUGACUUUAAAUCAAGAUGGCUCACAAGCAUUUCUAAUCUAGUCAAUAGUCAUUAUCAAAUCCUUCAGAAAAUCAAAAACAUUGUUAUUAUUUUUAUAUGUAUUUAUAAACACUUAUUCCACCCAUACAAAUAUCUUAUAUAUGUAGAUUGUAAGACAAAAUAUUCUAUACCUAACAUUCAUACUGGUCAAAGAUUUUACUUUAAAGAUGCUAUGUCGGCGACUAGGAGAAGUUAUGAUUGAUUUAAAGCAAGAAAGGGCUGUUGUAUAUAUUUCUAUACAUUUCCAAAAGUAACAUACUUAAAUUACACUAUUACCACCCUCCAAAAAAUUAAGCUUUUCUUUUUAUAUCCUUUUAUUUAUAAUUUAAGAAUUAAUCAAUUUAAUCCUGAAGAAAUUCUAUAAUACUUUGCCUCAAAAACAGUCUUAUAAACAAACCUUUUAGAACACUUAAAAUUUUUCCUAUGUUGAUGUUAGAUAUAUUUCUAUACUGUGGGACUGUCAUUUGACGACAGGCGGUGUACACUGUGGGUGUCAUUUGACGACAGGCAGUGUACACUGUGGGUGUCAUUUGACGACAGGCAGUGUACACUGUGGGUGUAAUUUGAUGACAGGCGGUGUACACUGUGGGUGUAAUUUGACAACAGCCAGUGUACAUUGUGGGUGUCAUUUGAUGACAGGCGGUGUACACUGUGGGUGUAAUUUGACAACAGCCAGUGUACACUGUGGGUGUAAUUCGACAACAGCCAGUGUACAUUGUGGGUGUCAUUUGAUGACAGGCAGUGUACAUUAUGGUUGUAAUUUGAUGACAGGAGGUGUACACUGAAUGUCAUUUGACGACAGGCGAUGUACACUGUGGGUGUAAUUUGACAACAGCCAGUGUACACUGUGGGUGUCAUUUGACGACAGGCGGUGUACACUGUGGGUGUCAUUUGACGACAGGCGGUGUACACUGUGGGUGUCAUUUGACGACAGGCGGUGUACACUGUGGGUGUCAUUUGACGACAGGCGAUGUACACUGUGGGUGUCAUUUGACGACAGGCGAUGUACACUGUGGGUGUCAUUUGAUGACAGGCGGUGUACCCUGUGGGUGUCAUUUGACGACAGGCGGUGUACACUGUGGGUGUCAUUUGACGACAGGCGGUGUACACUGUGGGAGUCAUUUGACGACAGGCGGUGUACACUGUGGGUGUCAUUUGACGACAGGCGGUGUACACUGUGGGUGUCAUUUGAUGACAGGCGGUGUACACUGUGGGUGUCAUUUGACGACAGGUGGUGUACACUGGGUGUCAUUUGACGACAGGUGUACCCUGUGGGUGUCAUUUGAUGACAGGUGGUGUACACUGUGGGUGUCAUUUGACGACAGGCGGUGUACACUUGGGUGUCAUUUGACAACAGGCGGUGUACACUGUGGGUGUCAUUUGAUGACAGGUGGUGUACACUAGGUGUCAUUUGACGACAGGCGGUGUACACUUGGGUGUCAUUUGACGACAGGCGGUGUACACUUGGGUGUCAUUUGACGACAGGUGGUGUACACUGGGUGUCAUUUGACGACAGGCGGUGUACACUGUGGGUGUCAUUUGAUGGCAGGUGGUGUACACUAGGUGUCAUUUGACGACAGGCGGUGUACACUUGGGUGUCAUUUGACAACAGGGGGUGUACACUGUGGGUGUCAUUUGAUGACAGGUGGUGUACACUUGGGUGUCAUUUGACGACAGGCGGUGUACACUGUGGGUGUCAUUUGAUGACAGGCGGUGUACACUGUGGGUGUCAUUUGAUGACAGGCGGUGUACACUGUGGGUGUCAUUUGAUGACAGGCGGUGUACACUGUGGGUGUCAUUUGACGACAGGCGGUGUACACUGUGCUUUAGAGUUACAUACUGGUAUACAAUCAUGCAAUGAUGAUUUGUGAAAUGUACUUCACAAUUGUCUAGGUCAGGAUGAAAAUGCCAAUUUUUUUUUUUUAAAAUCAUUAUUUUUUCCAAUUUAUUUCACAUGUAUUGUUUCACAUAUGUUGCAUAGAAAUGUUAGCACUGUGAUUUAUUUUAAAAUCUGCAGUGGUUAUACAGCUAAUCAGCCUGCAGUCACAAAACAAAUUUAGACCUGUUAAGUCUAAACUUUAGAAAUGUUGACAACAGAAUCAAUUCUUGCAGAAGUCAAAAUGAUAAAAUAGUAGAUAGUACAUGUAAUUCUUUAUGUACAAUUAAAAGAUUUAUUAUGUGAAUUCACAUACUGGUAUCAAAUUCCAAAAUUCUAUAACGUCCAAAUUCAGACCUAAGUCUGAAUUCUUCCCCAACACUGAGAUCAGUUACACUACCAAAAAGAGAGAGAAAAACAAAAAAACAAAAAGAUCUGAAAGAAAGCAUUUUGCAAACUUUUGGCACAUGCAUGACCUGAAUUUGUACACCCGCCAUUUGACAUGGAUCAUGCCAGUAGGCUGUAUUAAAUAUGUACAUCCAAUGUUAUAUUGAUCAAGUGAAGUAGUGUAUCAUUACUUCUAUAUAUACUUAUAUAUUAGGAUGACUGUAUAUUACUAUUGUUGUGUGCCAUUGUAUUCUAAUGAUAUAUGUUGUGUAGCAACAAUUCUAUUUUUGAUGUCUUUUUUUUUUCAUUCUGAAGUAUCAAAAUACAACCUAUCACCAAAUUGCAGAGGUACUGGUAUAGGUUAGAUGUAUGUAGGUCUCCAUAUUACAGAGGUAUUUAGGUUGGAUGUAUGUAGGUCUCCAUAUUACAGAGGUAUAGGUUGGAUGUAUGCAGGUCUCCAUAUUACAGAGGUACUUAGGUUGGAUGUAUGUAGGUCUCCAUAUUACAGAGGUAUUUAGGUUGGAUGUAUGUAGGUCUCCAUAUUACAGAGGUAUUUGGUUGGAUGUAUGUAGGUCUCCAUAUUACAGAGGUAUUUGGUUGGAUGUAUGUAGGUCUCCAUAUUACAGAGGUAUUUAGGUUGGAUGUAUGCAGGUCUCCAUAUUACAGAGGUAUUAAGGUUGGAUGUAUGCAGGUCUCCAUAUUACAGAGGUAUUUAGGUUGGAUGUAUGCAGGUCUCCAUAUUACAGAGGUAUAGGUUGGAUGUAUGCAGGUCUCCAUAUUACAGAGGUAUUUAGGUUGGAUGUAUGCAGGUCUCCAUAUUACAGAGGUAUUUAGGUUGGAUGUAUGUAGGUCUCCAUAUUACAGAGGUACUUAGGUUUGAUGUAUGUAGGUCUCCAUAUUACAGAGGUACUUAGGUUGGAUGUAUGCAGGUCUCCAUAUUACAGAGGUACUUAGGUUGGAUGUAUGUAGGUCUCCAUAUUACAGAGGUACUUAGGUUGGAUGUAUGUACGUCUCCAUAUUACAGAGGUACUUAUGUUAGAUGUAUGUAGGUCUCCAUAUUACAGAGGUAUAGGUUGGAUGUAUGCAGGUCUCCAUAUUACAGAGGUACUUAGGUUGGAUGUAUGUAGGUCUCCAUAUUACAGAGGUACUUAGGUUGGAUGUAUGUAGGUCUCCAUAUUACAGAGGUACUUAGGUUGGAUGUAUGUAGGUCUCCAUAUUACAGAGGUACUUAGGUUGGAUGUAUGCAGGUCUCCAUAUUACAGAGGUAUUUAGGUUGGAUGUAUGCAGGUCUCCAUAUUACAGAGGUAUUUAGGUUGGAUGUAUGUAGGUCUCCAUAUUACAGAGGUAUUUAGGUUGGAUGUAUGCAGGUCUCCAUAUUACAGAGGUACUUAGGUUGGAUGUAUGCAGGUCUCCAUAUUACAGAGGUAAAGGUUGGAUGUAUACAGGUCUCCAUAUUACAGAGGUACUUAGGUUGGAUGUAUGCAGGUCUCCAUAUUACAGAGGUAUAGGUUGGAUGUAUGUAGGUCUCCAUAUUACAGAGGUACUUAGAUUGGAUGUAUGUAGGUCUCCAUAUUACAGAGGUACUUAGGUUGGAUGUAUACAGGUCUCCAUAUUACAGAGGUACUUAGGUUGGAUGUAUGUAGGUCUCCAUAUUACAGAGGUAUUUAGGUUGGAUGUAUGCAGGUCUCCAUAUUACAGAGGUAUUUAGGUUGGAUGUAUGCAGGUCUCCAUAUUACAGAGGUAAAGGUUGGAUGUAUGUAGGUCUCCAUAUUACAGAGGUAUUUAGGUUGGAUGUACGCAGGUCUCCAUAUUACAGAGGUACUUAGGUUGGAUGUAUGUAGGUCUCCAUAUUACAGAGGUAUAGGUUGGAUGUAUGCAGGUCUCCAUAUUACAGAGGUAUUUAGGUUGGAUGUAUGUAGGUAUCCAUAUUACAGAGGUACUUAGGUUGGAUGUAUGUAGGUCUCCAUAUUACAGAGGUAUUAAGGUUGGAUGUAUGCAGGUCUCCAUAUUACAGAGGUAUAGGUUGGAUGUAUGCAGGUCUCCAUAUUACAGAGGUAUUUAGGUUGGAUGUAUGUAGGUCUCCAUAUUACAGAGGUACUUAGGUUGGAUGUAUGUAGGUCUCCAUAUUACAGAGGUACUUAGGUUGGAUGUAUGCAGGUCUCCAUAUUACAGAGGUACUUAGGUUGGAUGUAUGUAGGUCUCCAUAUUACACAGGUAAAGGUUGGAUGUAUGCAGGUCUCCAUAUUACAGAGGUACUUAGGUUGGAUGUAUGUAGGUCUCCAUAUUACAGAGGUAUAGGUUGGAUGUAUGUAGGUAUCCAUAUUACAGAGGUACUUUGGUUGGAUGUAUACAGGUCUCCAUAUUACAGAGGUACUUAGGUUGGAUGUAUGUAGGUCUCCAUAUUACAGAGGUACUUAGGUUGGAUGUAUGCAGGUCUCCAUAUUACAGAGGUAUUUAGGUUGGAUGUAUGCAGGUCUCCAUAUUACAGAGGUACUUAUGUUGGAUGUAUGCAGGUCUCCAUAUUACAGAGGUAUAGGUUGGAUGUAUGUAGGUCUCCAUAUUACAGAGGUAUUUAGGUUGGAUGUAUGCAGGUCUCCAUAUUACAGAGGUAUAGGUUGGAUGUAUGUAGGUCUCCAUAUUACAGAGGUAUAGGUUGGAUGUAUGCAGGUCUCCAUAUUACAGAGGUAUAGGUUAGAUGUAUGUAGGUCUCCAUAUUACAGAGGUACUUAGGUUGGAUGUAUGCAGGUCUCCAUAUUACAGAGGAACUUAGGUUAGAUGUAUGUAGGUCUCCAUAUUACAGAGGUACUUAGGUUGGAUGUAUGCAGGUCUCCAUAUUACAGAGGUACUUAGGUUUGAUGUAUGUAGGUCUCCAUAUUACAGAGGUACUUAGGUUUGAUGUAUGCAGGGCUCCAUAUUACAGAGGUAUAGGUUGGAUGUAUGUAGGUCUCCAUAUUACAGAGGUACUUAGGUUGGAUGUAUGCAUGUCUCCAUAUUACAGAGGUAUAGGUUGGAUGUAUGCAGGUCUCCAUAUUACAGAGGUAUUUAGGUUGGAUGUAUGCAGGUCUCCAUAUUACAGAGGUACUUAGGUUGGAUGUAUGUAGGUCUCCAUAUUACAGAGGUAUAGGUUGGAUGUAUGUAGGUCUCCAUAUUACAGAGGUACUUAGGUUGGAUGUAUGUAGGUCUCCAUAUUACAGAGGUAUUUAUGUUGGAUGUAUGUAGGUCUCCAUAUUACAGAGGUAUAAGUUGGAUGUAUGUAGGUAUCCAUAUUACAGAGGUAUUUAGGUUGGAUGUAUGUAGGUCUCCAUAUUACAGAGGUAUUUAGGUUGGAUGUAUGUAGGUCUCCAUAUUACAGAGGUAUUUAGGUUGGAUGUAUGCAGGUCUCCAUAUUACAGAGGUAAAGGUUGGAUGUAUGCAGGUCUCCAUAUUACAGAGGUAUUUAGGUUGGAUGUAUGUAGGUCUCCAUAUUACAGAGGUAUUUAGGUUGGAUGUAUGCAGGUCUCCAUAUUACAGAGGUAUUUAGGUUGGAUGUAUGUAGGUCUCCAUAUUACAGAGGUACUUAGGUUGACAAGCAAACUGAUUAAAACUACCCUGUAUACUCUGACAUUUCUUGAUUAUGUUGUAAUAUAUAAAUUUAGAAUAGCCAAAAGUGAAGUAUUUCUUGUGUUUUAGCAAGAAGCAUGGCAUAAGUUUGGACGGAAGCAUGGGUAAUGAGUGUCUGUGGUACUAUACCAAAUAAUGCUAAAAGAUCUUAACAAUGAUUUUUUGGAGUUAAAUUGAAUGAAGCACUAAGUCGGACGAUGGAGUAUACGUCCCUAGUUAAUACUUAUCUAGUAGGUUGUUUUAACACCUGUACAGGAAAAACAGUUGAAACUCUAACGGUAACUAUUCAAAUUUUUUUCUGUAGGGGUUUGUUGGUGAGAAUAUUAUCAACAACUUUUAGAAUUACUAGAAGCUAUUGAAUGUAAAUAUAACUCUUAAUGAAAUUUCAUUUCUAUUGAUAUGUAUUAAGUGUUUGUGUGAACUAUUUUAUGGAAAUCAUGGUACCGAAAUCAUUUCUUUAUACCAUAUAUGUCCUAAUAAAAUGACCAGUCAACUUAUAAAUGUAUCAUUUCUUUAUACUGUAUUGUCCUAAUGAAAUAACUACAACAUUUGUUAACUUAUAAUAUUUUUUUUAAAUAUCAAAUUGUUAAUAUAAUUUUCUUUUUCUUGUCAAAAUAUGUAUUAGAGUAUCCAGGAAAAUCACUUUACCUACAGGUGUAUAUAUGCUGCAAAGACUAUUUUCUGAUGGUUUUGAUUUUUGUGGUCUUAACUAAAGUUCAAAGCAUACAUUGUAAAGAUGUAUUUUUUGCAGAAAUUUUGAAACGUUACUUUGUACUGUCAAUAUGUCUAUUUUUCCAGAAUUUAUUAUAUCCUCUAAAAAAAGAAGAAAAAUAAUUAACCCAAAAUGGUCUUUACAGUUGCAGAUGUUGUUUCUACCAAGAUUGACAUUUUUAAUUAUCAAUAAAUUUAACAUUCAUUACGCCAUAAAAAGUCAAAUUUAUUUUUAAAUACUUUACAUCAGCCAAAAUACUGACAAUGUGAUAACGUUUCUUGAAGGCUUGUUUGCAUACAUAUCAUGGAAAAGUGCCUUAGGACACUCCCUUGACCAAUCAAAUGCCUGUCUUAUUUAUUAGGACAUAUAUUGGGAUUUAUGUAACAGCAUUGUAUUCAUCUUGCAUUUUUUUCAAAGGAAAAUCUCAACGACUUGAUUAUACAUGUAUUAAUAAUUUGGAUAUUGAAAGGACAGUUAAAACUACCAUGAUACUAAUAUCCUACGUUUACAUUGUAGUAGCGCUCCUUUAAGUCAUCAUGUUUAUCAUAAUUUUAUCAAAGUUUUUAGUCAAUCAACCAACUUAAUUAACCUAACAAUAUCAAUUACUGUUAUUAAUGCAUGUGUAAACAGAGGAAAAAUUUUCAGCAUGAUCUAUUAUAUGUCCAGUUUCACUUGAUGUUGGUAAAGUUUUCAAAACUUAUAUUGUUAUUAUGGAAUUAUAUUUGAAUUUACAUUACAUUAUAGGUACCUGGUAUUUGUAUUUUAUUUGGAUAUAGUCUUAUAUACCAGUAUUUAAUUCCAUUUUCCAUAUAAACAACGAAAGUUUAUUAUCGUAACUAUUUUCUUGAUCAUUCAACAAGAUUUUGUCAUUAAAGUAGAACUUUUUGCAGUAUAAUAUGUUAUUAUUAGUAUUAUGAUGUGACUAACCUGUUCUCUUAUACACAUGUUUACCCAUGCCAUGAACAUUGUACGGCAAACAUGUAAUAAAGCUAUUGUCAUAAAUUUAAUCAAAUUAAUGAUGUAACACGAUUGUCUUGAUGGUGAAAAUAUACCACUCGCAUCAAAAUUUGCUUGUCUUAUUAGAAAAUGAAUCAAUGAAUUGGUUUUCUCUUAAUUUCUUGUGAGUUUUGUGAUAAAUAGAAUCUUCCACUCCUAUGUCCAUAUAUUCACAGUGUACCACAAUCAUUUGAUAAUUUCUGUACCACAUAGGCCCAAGUUUCAUAUUCUUUAUAUGUAAAUUGUACAUGUAUAUGUAAUUUUAACAUGUCCUUGUCAAAAUCGGUGUCAAACACAACUUAAUCUAGAAACUGUCUUUGUGUAAUGUUAAAGCCAAACAAAGCCAGAGGACUUUCCACCCAAAUAAUAAUUCUUCAGAGUGGAUUUAUCCACGGCACUUGAUUUAAUGAUCUAGAUUUGUGAAACCAUGAUAACAUUCCUCGUCAAUACAAAAAAUUUGUCCAGAUAUCAAAUGCAUAUUGUUACGCUGUUUGUCAAGUUUUGACACCAAUAUCAUUUCUUUGCAUGAAGGCUUUUUGUCAUUCUUCAUAUUUUCAAAAUCAUUUAUGAAUGACCAGUUUUAUUUCAAUAUGAAUUUGUUAAGCAGAAAAUCUCAAAGUUGGUUUUUGCAAGGAAAUGCAUAAGAAAUAACACAAAAAUACUUUAGUUUUAACUUGAAAAGUCUAUAUGAACAUGGAAUCAAUCCAUCAAGUCUACCUAGAAAUGUUAUUGAAAUGUGCUGGCACAUGUAUAUUGUUGUCAGAAGAUUUUUAUUUGCAUUUUUUGUGAAAAGUUUUUCAAGAUACUUAGGUACAUACAUGUCUAGUCUGGUUUACAUACCAUGGAUAUUUUUAUUCAUUUAAUUUGAUGAAAUAUUUUAGUCUUGUAAACAUGAAUUACAAUGAUCCCCCCCCCAGCAAAUUGACUGCCAGGGUUGAGGAGCCCUGGGGUCAGCCCCAAGUGCAAUAGGGGCUAAGAGGAGGGCUAGUGAGUCUCUCAUUCAAAAACUGAUGUUUUCGCUUGUCAUUUAAUCUUCAGUAUUUUAAUGGUAUUUACAAUGGUAAAAUUGUCAUGUACAUGUACAUGUAUAUUGUUUUGUCAAAUUUUAUUUAUUGAAGUAUUUUGAUCAUAUUUACAGAAGUGAAGUUGUAAUGAUGAUAACAGUCACAUCUCCCAGUAUUCCUACACCUGAUAUACUGGUGUAGUAUGCCUGCCAAAUUACGUCAGAUCAGUAUCGAAGCUGGAGUACAUUUCUGUCUUCCUGGUGUUCUGGUGACUUGUCUGACAUCCCAAUCACAUGUAUAUGUAUGUAAGAUUGGAGUCGGUCACCUACAACAUGAUACACUAUACAGCUGUCAGCAAUAGAAGUUAGAAUUGUUUUGUCGAUCAGAUUAGAAUAUAGACUCGGUUAUAAAAUACCAUUGGUGAUGAAAUACACAUGAUAUAUAUGUAAAAUGCAAACAUACCGGUUAUUAUAGUUUUUCAGCCAUCAUGUCAAAUCCUACCAUCAAGUAUUCUGGUUGGGGGGUAUCUGAUCUGCUAAAUAACAUUUCUGCUAAGCAAGAUUAGUUCAACUUAUUGAAUGAUAUUCUGUUGUGAUUAUAUGUGUUGGCAAGUGUGUAAUAAAGAUGUUGGCCUUU